rnacentral:lncRNA from 1 species
AGGUGUUAUAAUAUAAUAUGGUUUGUGAAAUUUUAAAUAUAAUUUGAUGGUUGAAUGAAUCAAUAUAUUGUGUGUGUUCAGGUAAGAGUUCAUGGCCAGAGUUGGUUGGAGUGGAAGGAAAGGUAGCAGAAGCUACAAUUCAAAGAGAGAAUCCAUUGGUGGAUGCCAUCAUUGUGCCAGAAGGAUCUUCUGUCCCCUUUGACUUCCGCUGUGACAGGGUUUGGGUUUGGAUUAAUAAAGAUGAAAUUGUCUACCAGGUUCCAACAAUUGGAUAGAAAGUGUCUCUAUACUCAUCAUGGAAUUUAACUUGUAUACAUGCUCCAAGUUAUAAAUUUAAUGUUUCAAUAAGGAGCUAUAGUUUCUUUCCAAUUGUAUUCUACUAUGUGUUAUUUAAACAUACAUGUUCUGCAUUGUAAAUGCAUAUAUAAAUAAUUUGUUUUUCAUUUUCUUUGCCAAGGAAAUAUAUAUGACAUUGUACUAAUAUUGUCCAAUAAUAUAUAAUUUGAUUCAUUUCAUCUGUUUUUGUUUUUAGUCUCUCUAUUUUUUUUAAAAUGGAGUUUUGGUUCCCAAUUUUAAAAAAAUGAGUUUUUGGUUCUCCAAUUUUACAUUUUCUUAAAUUUUCCACCGUCAUCCCAUUUUAGGGUCAUUUUUGCUGAUGUUAUCUAUCAUGAUAGAGUUUACAUGGUCCCAUUAAUAUUCAUGUGCCGAGAAAAUGUCUAAUAAAUAAUAUUUGUAAAAAUGAGCCAAGAAUAAGAUGAAAGCUGAAAUUUUGAAGAAAUAUGGAAAAUUGGCCGACAAAAAACCCGGUUUUUUAAAUAGUGGAACUUAAGAUUUCUUUUCUUUUUUUUUACUAGGGCGACUAAAAGAACAUUUAGCCAUAAUUUUUUUUUUAAAAUGUUGACUUUGAAAAUUAUGUGGCUUGCCAUAUCACAAAAAAAAUAUCCACAUCCAAUAUUUUCAUACAAAAAAUUAAUCGAGGGACCAAAUUAAUAGGUUUUUUCUAAUUACAUAGUCAAAUUGAAAAAACUAACUUUUUAUUGGAAAUAAAAUAAGGUGACCCGUUAUUGCAAAGAUCUUUUGCAUAUUUAAGUCCAAUAUAUAUGGUCAGUUAUUAUUAAAAUUUAUUAAUUGAUCAAUGUUCCCCUCAAAACAAAACAAAAAAUAUCAAUAUUUGUUGGGCUUUAUUCCUAAAUGAACCGUGAUGAAUUGAACUAUUUUAUUAUGCAGACCAAAAAGAUUCGUUCCGUUCAAAAAAAAAAAAACCAAAAGAGAUAUGGAAAUGAUUGUAUGAGAAACCGUGUAGGUGUUCUCUUUUUAUUUUUAAGGAAUCUUUGACCAUUGAACAAAUCUAAUGGUAUUUUUUUUUCUGCUCCACCGGUGAGGGACUUAUCUGAUCCCUCACCCUAGAAUCCACCGAAAAAAAAGUAACAAAAAAAAAAAAAAAGAUGCAGGCAGAGAAGAAGAAUAAAAGGUGAAUGAAAAAGAGGUUUACAUUGUGAGAGAGGUAGUUACUUUUUUUUUUUUGAGGGGAGAGGUAGUGACUUUUGAAACCCAUAGGUGUAACCGCUCAAAUCAAAGAUGUUUCAUUCUCAAUUUUUAUCAGCAAUCAUUGCUUUCGAGAAAAACAAUAAAGUGUCACAAAAAAUAAAUACAAAAGAGAACAACAACAACAAAUUACAGUUACAGGAGUGUUAUUUGAACAACCAUUUGGUUGACAACUUAUGUGACAACCAUAAUUUACAAAGAAAAAGUGGGUAUUUGCACGAAAAUCAAAUCAAUUGAGAGAUAAAGUAAAAAAAUAAUGUGAGUAUGAGAGAGAAAGUUGUCACAAAAUGGAUGUUCAAAUAUCAUUUCUCUUACGGUUAAUAAGAGAAAAAAAAUCAAGGAAUAUUGUGAGAAACAUGAAAGACAUGACGAUUACCUCAAAAAUAAAAAUAAAAAUGAAACAAAUGAUGAUCGUAAAGAGUGGAAUUAGAAACACAUACAUAUUGUACAAAAAAAAAAAAAAAAAAAGAAACACGUACAUCAUACAUGCACUCUUGUUUUUAUUUUUUGAGUUUGAGUCAUGUCUUUGAAUUUAUUGAGAAAUUGAGAGCAACGGGAAGUCGGGAACAUUAGUGAACCGUCUUUGCUCGCUCAACCUGAGUAACAUCACAACAAUUACAAACAACAUCAUCACUAAAGAAGAAGAAAGUAUAUUUGAUUAUUUAAAACAUUUUUAUACCUAAUUAGGACAACAAAUAACACAAAAGAAGAAAAAAGGAAGAAAUAAACUGUAGAAAGUAUCCAUAGCACCGUCACCACAAUAUUUGGUUCCCGCUAGCCUAUCGUGCUUGCCUCCGGCUGCCAACAAUGUCGCCCUUUGGUUAACAGAAGACGAAAAAAACACCACAAAAACAAUAAAUAUAAAAAAUAUAGUAAUCACACUCUCAGAAUCUCUCAUACAGUACUUUGGCGAUUUCUGUUCUGUUUGUCCAUAUAAAUUGAUUAAUCUUCAUAAUCAAUUGCCAAAAAUUUCACCAAAAUAAAUGACCCUCCACAAUCUUCACGCAGUGCUUACUUUUGAGCAACCAUUUACUAUGACUUCUUACUUAAGGGUUGUCGAGAAAAAUUCAUAUCGCUAAAGAAAAAAUAUAAUAUCAAAUACUACAAUUUAAAUGCAAAUUACGAUGAAAUGAUAUAUGGAACUAACCUUUUGAUUUGUUCCUCUUUACUAUUGUUACAAAUGGACACUUUUAGAAAAAUUACAGCAUGUGAGGAACUUUAUCUUCUCCACAUUCUUCCGUUGCAUUUUUUAUUCGGGUUUCGGUGUUGUGGUGUAUUUUAUUUAGUAGUCAUAUUUGUAUGGCAGCGGUUGUAUCUUAUGAGAAAGGUAGCAGUCUUGUUUUUGAAUAGUACGUGAGAUAGUUGUUAAACUUGCAAGGGCAAUUUAGGAUUUUUCAAAAAAGGCUACACCAAAAAAAGUAUUAUCUUUAAUAAUAGGUAUAGAUGCAACUUUAUUUUCUAAUUUAUUUUCAUACGCAAUUUAAAUAUGCAAAUUCACGUCGGGUUUAAUUAGGGUUCGAAGAUAUUAUAUUCUUUAGUUAGAUGACACAAUCAUAAAAUAAAUGCAAAUAUAAAUAUAAAUAAAUGAAGAAAGAAACAUAAAUAAUACAUAUAAUAAUUGAUACAUUUACAAUAAUUGAUACAUUUUAUGCUACUCCUCUGAAGUGCGCAUAGCCCAGAGGGGGAAGUUGUGGAGGAACCCAAUCUUCCAACUUUUUCCCAUGUGUUGGUACCUUUAAAUAUUUUUUUUGUACCGCGUUCCUACGUAAAUUUAAAAUGAACCAGUAUUGUAUCUAUAUACUUAUAUUAAAAGAAAUGUCCUUUGAAUUUACCAUUUUGCCCCUAUUAAGGGCAAUUUGGUAAAUUAAUUAUUGGCUGAGUUUUUUUUUUUUUUAAGAUUGCCUAUGAAUUUCCAUUUUUGCCCCUAACCAAUUUUUUUAAUUAUUUUCUAAUUUUUAUAUUUUUAAUAACUUUUAAUUAUUUUCCAAUUUUUAUAUUUUUAACUAUUUUUCAAUUUUUUCUCCCAAAUUCAGUUGCUUGUACAUUGCCGUUGUGGAAGAUUAAGGUAUCGUUUGACCCGACUUUUUUCAAACUUCUCUACAUUUUUAAGGAGAAGUUAGGGCAAACCCAAUAUUAAUUAAGUACUUACUAAAAAAAGAACAUUUUUUGAACGCAUAAAAUUGAAUGGAAUGAGCUUUGACUAGAAGUUGUUGAAUGUUACUUUAAAAAACUACUUCUCCACAAUUUAUUUCACAAACACCUCUUUUCAACUCACGCUUGGAACUUUUUCUUUAUUUUUUAAUAUUAUAUUUCAAUAUCUUUUUUUUAUUCAAAAAAACUAAACAUAUAUGUUUCCAUGACACCAACAAAUAUAAUAUCAUAUAGUAUAAAUUCCAGCAUUUAUAAUAGUAAUUUUUUUAAGAAAUCAUCGGGCUUCUUCAUGAGAUUGUCAAGAUAAUUCCAAUUGGGACUAAAAAGAAAUUGUGUACGAAUAUUGUGUUGAAAGAUAAAAGGUAUUAUUUUCUUAUUUGUCAGCAUAAGAUGAUAGGAUUUUGUAUAAGUUUGAUAAUGACCUGAAAGAUGUAUUUCCUUAUGCAGUGAGAAUAUAGUUGAUGUAACACUAUGGAAAAAAUAUUUCGUAGCUUUAUCAUUUACCAUCUAUUUACCUCGAGUUCUUUGCUUCCAUUUUGUAGUCAAUGGCAACCCAAAUAUAUGUAACAAUUGGUCAGGUUCGAGGCUGCUCAUCAACCUACAUUAUCCGGUUGUUGAGAAGUUUAAGACUUAGUAAGUUUGCAUUAUGAUUUCACAAUACAGUGUUAGAGUAAAUUAUUAUUUCACAAUCUAAUUUGAUUUUUUUUUACCAUGUUUCUUGAAUUGUUGUCGUGACCUUAACACUUCUCAAGCUUAGAGUCAAAAGCAUCAGUCAGAACUUAAGUCAGAGUUCGACUUCUUCUCAAUGUACUUCAUACAACGAUUUUUUCAAUCUGUCUCAAGUAAGGCCAAUUGUUGAAUUUAUAAACUUAGUCAAGGUCUGCUUUUUUUUUUUUUUUAUGUACAAACAUUCUUUGAAUUUUUUACGCACAAAUUAAAAAUACAUAUUGCAUUAUUCUUUAUUUCAUGUGCAUAUUUGUGUUAGGAUACAUAUUGCAUCACCAUUUGGAAAGCAACUAAAUUCAAUCUUAACCAAUUUGGAUAAUAUUACGAGAGUUUCACCAAAUGUUCGAAGACAUCAUUGUCAAAUGGUGCUAGCUAUAGAUGCACAUGCGGGAGCGAUGCUUAAUUUCCAUUUGUUUCAACAAUGUUAAUUGGUCAACGGGGUUCAUAUAAUGCACAUGAAUGCAUUUAUCUAGCCUUUUUAGGAAGAUAAAUUAGAAGUCAUGAUACAUUUUCUUUAGCUUAAAAUCAGUUAUGCUACCUUUAUUUUAUAAAUUAUAUGUAACUAUAUUCGCAUUAUCCAUGUUAAUAUGCAUUAGACUAAUAUUGUUGUUAUUUCCCUGUUUAGCAUUUCCCAAAUGAGGUGUCAAGAACAAUUCUAAAAGGAAAGCGCAAAACAAUCACUCUCAUUAGUUUCAAUUGUUUUCAUCCUAAAAAUUAUGUCAAUUCCUAAUCUCAUAAACUGAUUAUAUGAUCUCUAAAUCAGCUCAUAAAUAUUUUAUGAUGAAUCACAAUGUUCCGUUGUUUUAACAUCUUUUCUUUCGAAGAAUUUUUUUUAUGCCGUGAUUAUCUAAGGUUAUUAUUUUACCUUAGAUAAACAUUAAAUGUAAAAGUCUGGAGGGAAAAAUUAGGUUAAAAUUAGAGCUGACAUUUUGCAUAAAUUAAAUCUAGGGUUAAUAUAGUAAAGUCACGCGAAAAAAUACGUUAAAUCUAGGGUUAAUAUUGCGUCACGGGUUAACAAUUAGAAAUAAGAGAUGACAUUUUGCAUAAAUUAAAUCUAGGGUUAAUGUAGUAAAGUCACACGAAAAAAUUAGGUUAAAUCUAGGGUUAAUAUUGCGUCUCGGGUUAACAUUUAGAAAUAAGAGAUGUCAUUUUGCAUAAAUUAAAUCUAAGGUUAAUAUAAUUUGUUUAGUAAAUUUAAAGAGAAAAAUUAGGAGCGAUUUGUUUAUUUUAAUUUCCCUAACAAUUAACGUUAACAUUUUAUUUAAAUUAAACAGGAUUAACUAAAUAGGGUUAAUACAGUAAAAUUAAGCAAAGAAGUUAGGUUAAAUCUAGGACAAAAUUUUGAGUUCGGGUUAACUUUAAGAAAUAAAAUAGGUUAAGUAUAGCAAGAGGGAUUAACAUUUAUAAGUAAGAGAUUAGGUUAAGUAUAGCGAGACGGGUUAACGGUUAUUCCUUUCCAAAAAAACAACAUAUAAUUGGGAACAUCAUUUUAUUUUACUUUAGAUAAACAUUAAAUGCAAAAGUGUGGAGGGAAAAAUUAGGUUAAAAUUAGAGAUGACAUUUUGCAUAAAUUAAAUCUAAGGUUAAUAUAGUAAAGUCACGCGAAAAAAUAUGUUAAAUCUAAGGUUAAUAUUGCAUCAAGGAUUAACAUUUAGAAAUAAGAGAUGACAUUUUGCAUAAAUUAAAUCUAGGGUAGGGAUGGCAAUUGGACCCAGACUCGAUGGAUACCCGCAAAAAAUACCCACAAUGGGUAGGAUAAAACCCCGCUUUCAUGGAUAUGGGCACGGGUAGGGUAAUUACCCGCAAAUUUUAAUGGGUAUGGACACGGGUAAGGGUACUAUACUACCCAGCCCCGCAACCCGCAUGUACAUAUUUAUAUAAUAUAAUAAAUACUUUAUUUAUUUUUGGUGUACAAUUAUUUAAUUUAUUUAGCUAUUUAAGUCUAAACCUAAACCUAAAAUCUAAGCUAUUUAAGUUUAAACCUAAAUACUACGAUUAUUUGAAUGUUUUUAUUUUAAUUUUUGAGGGAUAUUUUGGAUGUUUUUUUAUUUGGCUAAAUACUACAAUUCGUAUUAUUUUAUUAGUUGAUUUAAAUAAUUUUGGAUCAUAGUUUUAUUUAUAUUGUGAUAUUUUUUAUUGUCUUUUCAUAGAGAAAGUGCGGGUAAUGGGUGGGGGUAUGAGCACUUAAGUGCCCAUAGGGUAUGGGGAAGGGCAUUAAAGUUGUUGCCCACGAGGGUACGGGCUCGGGUACGAACAUUUUUUACAAAUGAGGGUAUGGGGAUGGAUACUAUAGUACCCUAUCCAUUGGGUACCCAUUGCCAUCCCUAAUCUAGGGUUAAUAUAGUAAAGUCACAUGAAAAAAUUAGGUUAAAUCUAGGGUUAAAUAUUGCGUCACAGGUUAACAUUUAAAAAUAAGAGAUAAUAUUUUGCAUAAAUUAAAUCUAGGGUUAAUAUAAUUUUUUUUUAAUAAAAUUAAGGAGAUAAAUUAGGAGCUAUUUGUUUAUUUUGAUUUCCCUAACAAUUAACGUUAACAUUUUGAUUAAAUUAAAUAGGGUUAAUACUGUAAAAUUAAGCAAAGAAGUUAGGUUAAAUCUAGGGCAAAAUUUUGCGUUCGGGUUAACUUUAAGGAAUAAGAGAUUACAAUAGUUGUUAUAUUAUUUUUUAUGUAGUAUUUUAGGCUCUGUGUUGUAAAAUUUUAGUUUACGCAAUUUUGAUUUUCACAUUGAUAAAGGACAACAAUUUUCCAUAAUUUAUAAGAUUUCUCAUUCGGAACUAAAUUUUUAAAAAAUACGUUAUUCAAUCCGUGCGAAGCACGGGUUUGUAACUAGUAAUUUAAUAAAAUUCAAAUAAUGAAGAUGAUAAAAUAUUAUUAUGUAAAAAAAAAAAAAAAUUAUAAGUAAAACAAUUGAACCUAAUAAACCUUAGUGUAUCACUAAUAGAAUAAAAACACCCCUUCAAAUUACAAAGUGUGGCUUGAAGGAAACAAAUACAAAAUACAUUAUAAGCAAAGAGUGUUUUAAUUACUUACCUGACCAUAUAUACCACAGCCUACGGGCAACAUGGACCUCAUACCGCCACAAACAAGUCAUAAGGUCCACCCAUAUACCUCUGUGCGCGUUCCUUCACAUCUUGAUCCAUAUGCUGCUCCACUGCCACAAGUCCAUGCUGCUUCACAUCCCGAACCACCUCAUGUCGUCGUUCAUUUCGUCCUAUGCGUAUAAUCUUUCCACCUCGUCCUCUGCACCGAACCCCCUCAUGUCGUCGUUCGUUUCGAUUUAUGCGUAUAAUCUUGCCACCUCGUCCUCUGCACCGAACCACUGAAUAAAGAAAAACAAUUAAUAAAAGAAAAAAAAAGAAUUAAACUUAAAAACAAUAACAGUCAUUGCUACAAGUAUUAUAGUUAUUUAAUUAUACAUAUAUAAUCAAUUCUUAAUUAAAUUAAACAUGUAUGAUCUGAACCUUAGAUGGAGAUAAGCAGCAGCAGCAAAGAUACAUCUAAUAGUCAUUGCUACAAGUAUAUGUUAAAUUGAGAUUUGGCUACUUCCUUGCAGAAAGUCAGUGAUGUAUCUAAGGAAUUGAAUUAUAAAAAUUUACAAGUAUAUGUAUCUAACGAAAAUUGCAAAGUUAGUGAUUUAUCCAAGGAAAAUUGAAGUCCAUGGAUUGGAUCACAAUAUUGAAAAUUGCAGCAGCAAAGAUACAUGCAACAGUAAUUGCUACAAGUAUAUGUUAAAUGGAGAUUUGGCUACUUCCUUUUUAUGAUUCCCCAAUUAUGGUCACAAAUUACAAUUAUAUCACUUAGUCAAAUUUACUAGCAUAAUAUAAUUGUUUAUGUGCUGUGAAAAACAUAUUAAUUCUUAAAAAAAAGAAAAUAGAUUAAGGAUUCAGAAAGCAAUUUCAGAAGUUGCAUAAUCGGAAGUUGUUUACCACUAGUCAAGUUUACCUAUAGUUUGUUUACUAGCAUAUAUAAACAGAUUCGGAAGAUGCAGACAUAAAGAUGUCUGAGCCGGAAUACUUCACCAAACUGUUCCGGGAAGUACUGGAAUGCUUCAUACGCGUUUUCCGGAAGAAAAAAAAUCGGAAAGCUUGGUGAUUACGAUUCCGAUUAAGGAUUCAUAAAGCCAUUUCAUCACAUCUCACAUCAUAUUUCCAAAAUCGUCAGUUCAUCACGUCGUCGUUUUCGAUUGACGAUUCCGGUAACCACUAACCCAAAAAACGGCAAAACUUAAUCAUUGAUUCUGGUGCCCCAUUAACAGAACAAACACGCGAAAAUAUAGUGAGAACGAACACAGAAACGAUUAAGAAAACAAGGAAAGAAGGCUUACUCAUAAUCGUUGUAGAAUCAGAAGAAGGGUUUUUCCGGAAAAGGGGUGAACACGCAAAGUGUUUUUUUUUUUCUUCCAAAAGUGAAAGGAUGUUGUGUUGUGUUUUAUACAAAGGGUAAAUUUGAUAGUUUAUAUCAAAUGUUGGGGGUGAAGGUAUAUAAGUAUAAGGGUGUGGGGUAUAACUUGCAAAGAGUAAAUGAAUAGAAGUGGGUUAUGGGGCAUGGGAACUUCAAUGAAAAUAGGAAGACAACAUACACUAAAAGUUGAUACUUGUACUGUGGAACAUAUGGAGCAACCUCAAAAGAGUACAAAGGACCUAUAUAAAAUAUUGGGAUGCUACAGUAGACAUGAUUGUAUAUAGAAACAAAGAAAUAGAAAACUUCCGACACGAUUUGUGAUAUACAUGCAUGUAAUUUCAGAAAUUAUGUAGCAGCAAAGAAAUAGAAAACUUCCAACACGGUUGCACAUAAUUUCAGAAAAUUGUAAAUGAUGAUGCAUAAUUAGUGCUAUGUAAUAUUAUAAGAAAUAAGUAAUCCUCAAUAUAUACAAAAACUAACUUGCCCCCCACCACAUUUGCGUGCAUUUUGGCUGAUGUGGCUUUUAAAAUAUUAUCUUAUUAUCCACCUAAUUAAUUAUUUAAAUUAAAUAAUUUUUAAUUACAAAAAAUAAAUAACUUUUUAAAAAAAUCGAAAAAAUACCUUAAAAUGCAGAAAAAAUUCUAAAAAAUCUUGAAAUGAGAUCUAGUCCACAUUGGAGGUGCCCAAUUCUUAUUCAUGUAUUCCCAAGCUUUGUCGUUAAUUAAUUUCAUUCGAUUCAUUGCUCUCUCCCAUGCUGGAACAGUUGUAGCCCUUGCUGCCAUCCAAAACACUUCCCUUAAAUCCAAUCCAGGAUAUCUUUUCUUAAAAUUAGCAUAAAGGUGCUUCACACAUAGCCUAUGCUCAACAUGACUACCAAGGUUUUGAAUUGCCGGAACCAAACCCUAAGAUAAUUACCAAUGGUAAACAAAUAUUACAAAAAAAUAGAGAACAUUAUGCAUAUUAAAAUAUUAACAAUGACACAUGUAAGUUAUACCUUCUGUUCAUCUGAGAUGAAUGCAUAUUGCUUGUGUUGUAUAGUUUGUAGAUCUUCAAGUAAUAGAUUCAGAAACCACUCCCAUGAAUCUUUUGUUUCUGCUUCUACAACGGCAUAAGCAAUGGGAAACAUUUGGUUGAUAUGGCAUCUACAUUACAUCAAAUUCCUUUUCAAACAACUCGAGAUCGUUCAACCACAUUAAAUCUGGUGAGGUGUGCUCCAAAGUCUUAAGCUCAUUUUCCUUUUCAUCAAGUUCAGCUUCCAGCUUCUUAAGGCUUUCAAGGGUGAAAUUUUCAAAAGGCAAGGAUGAAAGAUACUCAUAGUCACCCAAUGUCGCUCCUUCAAUACUUACAGAUUGAGAUACACUUUCCUGCUCACCAGCUUCCUGCUCUUUUGAACUGUAAUCAAUUGCACCUGCAACAUGUGGUUCUGCAGAUUUACCUUUCUUCAGAAUCUCAAUCAACAAUUCAGCUCUUCGGUUGAUCGGGUUGAACUUCUCAUUCACAAUAUUGGAUAUAAACUUUUGUUUGAUUCUCAAACUCCGCAAAAGUUGUGUAAAGUUCUUCACUAGAUAUUGCUGCGGGCAAGCACAACUUGCAUUUCAGUUUACAUAUUAAUAAAUAGGUACAUGAUAUAGAGAAAGAUCUAUGUAAUUGUUAGCAACAAUAAUUCACCUUUCUCCUCACAUAAUACUUCAGCCGAAGUGUACAGAACUCUUCAAGAACUGCAUAAGAAAUGACACAGAAAAGUGAGUAGUAUGAAAAACAUUACAUGAUAAUGCGAUUCAAAGUACUUAUACAUAAAGAAGGGUAUACUUUGUUCUGGGGUGUUAUAUUUCUUAAUUUUUCCCUCUGCAUCAAAAAGAUACAUGUUGCUUGUGCUAAUAGUGCACGUCAGGUUAAACUUCUUGCGUAAUUCUUCGUCUUUCUCUAUUGUAGCUAUUUCUUCUUGCUUCACAUUGACUUUAAAGUUUACUAUUUCAUAAUCACCUUUUUGCCUAAAACUCUGCAACAAAGAAAAUUUACAUAUGAAAAAGGUACAGAUUUACCUAUGGUGUAUAUGGUAAGUAAAAGUAUAGGUCACGUCACCUCAAUGAGCCCCCGAGCAGUUAUUUUUUCAAGGAACUUCUUAUAAUCUUCAGUCCACAUUCGAAUAGGAAGCUCUUUGAUUCUGAAAGUUUGUUCAUUUAUUCUCUCCACUAAACCAUCGACUGUAUAAUAGCCUAUUCCCUUGGCACUUUUCUCAAUGGUUCCUCCGAACCCUUUGUACCAUGGUUUCAUUGACACCAUUUCCUCAUUAUUCAAGAAACGUCUUACAUUCUUAAUAAUUUCAUAUGGAUGAUAUUUGGGAAUAUCAGAACUAAAACAUGUCCCCAUGGCAUGGCAACCAUUGACAAGCACGAGAGGAAUAAUUGGUAUGUACCUGUGUGGUGACGAGCAGAAUUUGAAUCAGUUCAACUUUGAUGGGGUUCCUUAGUUGUUACUUAUUAAUAAUCACAACCAAAAUAGCCAUUACAAAGAAAGGAGAAACAAAAUACCAGUUUGGUUGAAUGGACCUCCCAUCCUCAUUCAAGUAUUCAAGAAGCUUAUCAUCAUCCACAGGGAAGAGGAGACGAGUAACGCAAUUUAGCUUAAUGUAUAACUUUCUGGAACUUGCAUGGUCUUUACCACCCUGGAACGAGCAAAUUAUCCACUGAAUAUGAGUUCAAGAAAGAAAAUGAGGAAUAGUGCAAUAAAAAAAAUACGCCGGUUCUUCUCACCAGGUCACGAGUGCCAAAUUGACCAUAAGGUAUAAGAAGAUUGAUGUUGUUGCUGCCCACAAAAUCCUGUGCCAUUCCAAUAAUUGUGCUAGCAAUACUUUGUUGACCAUAGUGACAAUAAGAAUGUUCAGUCACAUAAGCAGUUAAUCGGCAAACUUCUGUUUGUUUGGUCAAAUUCAUCUCAAAGGAGCAGAAAAGAGUCUUCCUUUGACCAAGUGUAAGGCCAUCUACCACAGACGGAAUGGACCUUUGGAGAUUUUUCAUUGAGGAGAAUAGAAGUUCUUUAUUAACAAAAUUCCUGUAGUUUAUAACUUUUCUUUCAUAAUUACAAGUGCCAGGCUGCAUCAUCAGAUAAUGGAAAACAAUAUGUUAACUAUACACCCUAGAAGAGUAAGCUUGUGUUAGAAAAUUGCUGUAUUUGGUAAACAUCAAACCUGAGAGUUACCAAUCCAAGCCUCCCAUUCCUCAGCUUUUUUACUGAAUGCCAGCUUAAUUGAAGUUUCAUCUUUAUCAUCCCAAACAAAAUAUGCCCUGUGCUUACCAAGAUCUUGAAAGUACUCUCGCACUUCCUGCGCAGAACUCAAGCCCUGCACAAACACCAAAAAUUUGAAAUAAGCAAAGACUGAAUGAAAGAAUUAGGAACACAAAAAGUAUUUUGGUUCACCGCAUAAAAUCGUUUAUUGUGUUGACUACAGCUCACGGGUGGCAGGUUGUGCAGCCAUGGCCCAACCCAAGCCAAAUCCAAAAGGAUGAAAACCGACAUUUCCCUUCAACUCUGAAGCCCCGAUACUUAAAAAUUGGUGAAGAAUUGUGUCCGACGCGUAUCCAUACCGAUACGUAUUGAUACGCGUAUCGGAGAAGUAUCAGGCAAUUAAUAUUUAUUUUUUUGAAAAUAAUGACCGAUACGUGUCAGAUACGGCUAACUUGUACUCCAACACGACUAACUUAUACUCUGACACCGAUACUCCUAUAUUACAUAUUUCCUUUAAAAAAAAAAGAAAAAUAAAAUAAUAAGAAAUAAAACUAGAAGUCCGGCACCGCUAUCAAAAACAUAUUAUCUCUUCUAACCCAAAAAAUUGGGUUUCUCGUCACCACAUAGCGAUAGCUAUUCCCUCUUCUAACCAUUACCACUGAUUGAAUUCUACUCUGUUUCUCUCUCUAAUGCUAUGUUUCUUCUGUUCUUCUUUCUAAUUGGGAAAAAAUUGAUUUUUUCAAUCUAAAAUAGUGUUAACUAUUAAGUAGUCAACAUUAGACAAAGGUGUUAUUUUUUUUUUAGUACUUAUGAUGUUCUCUUUUCUCUUUGGAUGUUAUUUUAUUAAUUAUGGGACCAAAAUGAAUACUUGAAAUUAAUUAGGAGACCAUUGGAUCAAAUAAGCCUUUCAAUUAUUAUUAAUCAUUUCAAUAAGGCAUUUUAACUUUUUUUAUAAUAGGCACUUAUAAUAUUUAAAAAUAACAAAUAUCCAUAAAAUCUUAUCAACUUACUCCCUCCAUCCCAUUAUAUAAGUAAAAAAAACUCAUUUUCUUUGUCCUAGAAUAUAAGCAAAAAAGACAAGCUUUUAUCCUAUUUAAUCUUGUUUUUAAAAAAAAUCUCUUUUCCAAGAAAAACUUUUGUUUAUUCUCAUAAAAUUAAAUGCAAAUUACAUUCAAUUUUCUCUCUUUCAUUUUUUCCAUAACCAAUAGCCAAUGAAAAUUGUUUUUACAUCUCAUAUAAAACUUUUUCCAAAGAAAACACAAAAAACUAUACUCCAAAUUUUUAUGUUUUAGUUUUCUUAAUAAGUGUGAUUUUUAUUUUUAUUUUUGCUUAUAAUUUAGGAUGGAGGGAGCAUUUCAAAACAAUUUAUGAAUAAAUAUUCAAUUAAGUUUCUUUUUUUUUUUUUAAGAGCAAAUUUAUUCCCCUCAAACUUUAAAAUACCAACAAAUCUACUAAUAGGGUAGGCAAAAGGGAGAUGCUGAGCAGACCAUGAGUGAUAUGCAGAAAAAAUACACCAAUGCCACACCAAAAUGGAAUUAGAUAGUAUCCCUUCUGAUGAAGAAGGGGCUCUAAAAGAGGCUGGAAUCAAUCUUAAACACAAAAUGAUACCAACCUCUUCGAGACACACUAAAAUGUGCCCACAGAUGCAAGUUAAACAGACUAGAACUAGUUUCCAAUCAGCCCCCUCGUAUAUAGUGGUUUAUACUUACAGUCAUAAAUAUAAAAAUAUGGAGGUUUUCCAACAACAAACCUGACAGUACUUUAUCUCCCAAUCAUUUGCAGUGUUACCCAAUUCUUUUUUCCAGUCUUCAUAUUGCUGCAUAGAAUCAAAUGAUAACUCCUUCCCCUUCUUUGAAUCAGAAGCCUGCAGAGAAAGAUAAAUGUAUCUCGUAAAAUAAAAAAAGAGAUUAUUUACUCAAGAAUGUGUACAGAGUGUUUUCAUUAUCAAUUAUACAUGCUAACCUUUAUAAUGGGAAAGGUAAACACAGACAUGAAUUUUGAAACUUUAAGUAGUGAUGGCCAGAAUGAAUAAAAGAAGUUUAUCAGUAGUCCUUUAAAGUGAGCGCCAUCUUCAUCCUAAAUCACACAUAAAUUUGAACUAUUAUGAGAAAAUCAAGCGUAGAACAUAAUCAUGCCUCAUACAUAGAACAUAAAAGUCAAGGCAUUAAUAAACUAUGAUCUUUAAGUUACUCACCUGAUUGGCCAUAACCAUCAACUGGCCAUAUCUCAAACAUUUUGCAUUACUGUAUUUCUUGUUUCGCACAAGUCCAAGAAUGGCCAUCAGAUUCUGAAUUUCUUUCUUUUUAAAUAGCUUUCUACUGUCCCUCGUCGCAUUGAGCAAUUUGCUGCUCAAUGGAAACACACCAUAGAGGUCUGGAUCCACCACAGCAGAGAGCCCGGACAUCUUCAAACCAAAAAGUAGUCAUUAAGUUCAAGUUUUUCUUUUUUUUCAUUCUUUAAUUAAAUUUAAAUAAAUGACCAUAAGCUUCAACCGCUUGUACUUAAAUGAAAAAUAUUCAUACCAAAAUUUGAAAUAUACUUUUUAAAAUUAGUUUUUGUAUAUAGACAACAACUUACAGCUAAGUCCUUCACAUAUUGUCCCUGUGUCAAAAUCAAGGUACAUUUGCCAGAGUCGGGUCUGCCAGCCAACUUGGCAUCCACAUGCGUUCGGUGUUUGAAAGGUAUCCGUGGUAGGAGGUUGUCCAGAAUUUGAGAUUUUUGAACUGCAAAAAUAUAAAAUAUUUGAGUAAAACACCAUUUCCUGCUAAUUUGAUAACAUUGCAAAACAACCAACAAAUGAGGAAUUACUAACCAUCAUUUAGCAUUGAACCUGGAAAAAACUUCAAACCCAAUCUAGCUGGUUUAGUGGUUAACAUCUCUUUGGUUUGAGAAUUAAAGGCAGGGUUGUCAAUCAGAGCAUUGACAAAAACCCACAACUGAUUCUUCACAGUGUCAGCAUUCACAUUGACAUGCUUCUUCUUCAAUACUUCCUUCUUUAUAUAGGUAGUAAUCUGCUUGGUGAUGUAAUCAACAUGAGUCCCACCCUUAAUUGUAGCAAUGGAGUUAACAAAGCUGACCUGGUAAAAAAAAAAAGGUUGUGUAAGACAAGAAAUUAACAUCAAUUAACCUGCAAGUUACACUAUACUUUAGACAGUCACCUGUUGAAACUUCCCGUCACUUAGACUCAGGCAAAUCUCCAACCUAUCACCUAAUUUGGCAUGAGUCCUAAUAACAGCAACCAAAUCAUGUUAAGAUAAAAACAAAGGAAAAUACACCAACCCACACGCAGAUUGAGUUCUCAACUACAUAUCGGUAUAGCAACAAACCUUGGCAGGGGAAAGGGUUUAGCACGAUCCAAGAAGAAAUUAGCAUAAUCUUUAAAAGACUUGACUGGAAUCACAGUGCCGUUGAGUACAACCGUAACAGUCUCACCAAGGCACACUGCCAUGUCCAACACACGCUUUUUCAUCAAAGCUAUAACGUCCUUUUCAAGAUUCUUCAUAUCAAACUUAUCCAAGUCAGGCUUAAACAUCACAUUGGUCCAUUUGCCAUUGUCACAAAGGUUGAAACAUUUGGUUGCCACAGGCGUAGCAUUAUGGAACUCCUGACAAAUGGAAAAUCAAAGACCAAAAAUUUUGAGCACAAUGAAAGCACCAAAAUCAAAGACCAAAAUUCAAACAAAUACUGGUUUGUUAAUGAUAGCAGAAAUAUAAAAUACAGGUCCAUUUUGAAAUGUAAAACUGUAACAUGAAAGGCAAAAUAUCAUCAAAUCAACAACAACUUUUCAAUAAUCAAACAGGCAUGAUCCCAUAACAACUCCCAGUUCAUUUCACCAAACAUUAAAAAAUAAAUACACUAGCUGAAUCUUGAAAUUCAAUUUUACCCACGGAUCUAGGGUGGGGGCAAUGGGGUCAAGCGACCCCACUUGCCUCCACAUGUGUAUUGUAUUUUCAACCCAAAAUUAGAUAUAUCUAUAGUUAAACUCCUCUUUAUAUAGUAUCAUUGUCUUCACAUAGUCUAUUUAUUAGACUACAAAAAUUAUAAAAUUAAGAAGAAUCCUAAUGGGUGUUCUAAGAACUAGUUAAAAAAUCAAAAGAAAUAGUUUAUUUUAUAAAAAGUUGUUAUAAUUAUCAUAUUGAUACAAAUAACAGAUGAUUUUUUUUUAAUGAAAUCUUUAACCAAUUAUCGUUGGCGAGACCAUAAAACUAUAGUUACUAUAUAUAAUUACAAUACAUAAACUAUUCUUAUAUUUGUUGAAAAAAGUUGUGAUUGACGCUAGACAAAUAUUUAUUAAAAAAUCAACAUUUAGGGCAAUUAUAAAUAUAAUUUGUAUAAUUUUCGCACGCAUUUAGAAAGUUUUAUAUAAAUUUUUAUGAUAUAACUUGACCCCACUUAUUAAAAUUUUUAGAUCCGUGAAUGCCAAAACCUAAAAAAAUAAAAAUCUAAAAGCAAGAAAGGAAUAACCACCUGACUCCAAAACCUCUGUCCAUCAGCAAUCUCAACAUAACAAUAAGACGAGUAAAGAUUCGUGGGAUGAAACUUUUUGAUUACAUUAUCAAAUGUUUCAUCGCCUAAAAGUGGAACACCUUUCAUGUAAACAUAAAUCUCAUUAACCUCAGGAAUAAUGUUUACUUCCAACCGGUCCAUGUAUGGAUCUCGCCGUUUUCUAUCAGCAGCGUGAAUAAGGAUUAUGUCGAAGAUGUUGUAGAGACCAGGGACGUACGAGAUUUUGCGGUGAAUUAUUUUGUCGUUUUCGUAAACCCAUUGUUUCUGGUUUUUUUUUUUAUUGAGUCGAUGAAGGUAUCGGGUUCGCACCGUGUUUUAUCGAGACCCAUGGUGAUUGUGGACGUGGUGGUGUCGUGUUGUCGUCGGAGAGAAAAGAGAAAAGUGAUAGAUAAUUCACUCCUACGAAUUAGGUUAUAUAUGGGCUGUGCAUGAACCCCAAUAACUCUGCUCUUUACCCAACCGUUUUUUUCAUUCUCAACUGAAAAGACCGUUUUGCCCCUUCGCUUGAGUUAACUCAAGUAUGCAACUUUAUUUUCUAAUUUAUUUUCAUACGCAAUUUUAAUAUGGAAAUUCACAUCGGAUUUAGUUAGAUCACAAAAUCAUAAAAUAAAUGCAAAUCAUCUCUAACUUCUUUGCUUAAUUUUACUAUAUUAACCCUACUUAAUUUAAUGAAAAUGUUAAUGUUAAUUGUUAGGGAAAUCAAAAUAAACAAAUCGUUCUUAAUUUUUCUCCUUAAUUUUACUAAACAAAUAAACAAACCCUCAUAUUCUUAUCUGCUUAAUUUUACUCUAUUAAGGUACCGUUUGGCCAGGCUUUUUUUCGGUCUAAAAACUACUUUAAAACAAAGUUAAAAUAAAGCUCUUUAAGAAAAAGGUUAAAGCUGUUUGGUUUCUUUAUUUUUUUUUAGUUCUAAAGUUAUUUUUGAGUUAAAAGCUGUUUGGCAAAAUAUUGUACAAAACUUUGAAUUUAUUAUUUUUUGGUGGUGUCUGGGGUUCGAACCCGGGACCUUGCAUAUAUUUUUGCAUUGUCUAUAAAUAAAAAAACUUUGAAUUCAUUAUGAAUUAACAUAAUAAAUAAAAAAAUGUCUAAAAUAUUUUUUGAAGGGAAAAAAUGUUUAAAUAUAAAAGAUAUAUUUUUACCAAUACUAUAUUUACUCAAUGACGUUUAUUUUGUGUAACAUAAAUAUAAAUUUGUAUCAUCAUAUAAACGACUUGUUAAAUAUUUGAAUAGGAGAAAUAAUUUAAGGAGGCUCAAAUAAUAACAUAAAUAAUAUCAAAGUAGUUUGGAAAAUUAUAAACAAUAAUCAUUUUUUUUUUAAAGACAUAAAUCAUCACAAACUCAAACAUUUCUACUCUCCAUCAACGCAACUCCUAUUUGAUUUCUAACUUUAUUCAUGUAGCCUCCAUCUUGCACUCUUCCUGGAUUAUAUGAACUGAUUUCUUCAUUUAUAUUAUUUUCUUCGUCACGCUCAAUCAUAUCUAUAAUAUGUAUAUGUGUGUGUAUAUAAUGAGAAUAAUUGGUUUUUUCUUUUCCAAUUAUACUCUAUAACAAAUUUUGUUAUAACAAAUUUUGUUAUAAGAAUACCAUAUUUUUAGUGUUGGUCAAAAAGAUAAGAAUUUAUAUAUAUAAUAUUAUAUUUGUUACAUUGCUGGUAUCAUUUAAAAAGAUAUGUUUAGUUUUUUUAAUAAGAAAAAGAUAUGCAUAGUUUGUUACAAUACAAAUGUGUAAAUUAUAUAUAAGUAUAAUUUUUUUAGGCAACUACACUUAUACUUUUAAUUAAAAUCAAAAUUUUAUAAAAAUAAUUAUACGCAUUACACAACACUAACAAAAAUUAUACGCAUUAGCAUAACAAAAAAAAAAACAGAAAGAGGAACAUAAAGUAUUACUCUAAACACUAAUGUGUGUGUGUAUUUCCGUGGUUGAAGAAAGGGAAUAAAAAUAUUCGGUGUCAUUCAUUGACAGCGUGAAUACAAAUAUUUGCGUGGUUGUGAUGAUCAAAAGAUAUUGAAAUUAAUAUAUAAGUGAUAAAAAGAUAAUAAAAUUCCUUAAAAAAAUAGAUAAUAAACUUAAAUGGAACCUCAUUAAAAAAUUAAAUGGACCGGUUAAAAAAAAAAAAAAAAUGGAAGAAAAAAGCAUAUUGAAAAAAUAAAACAAAAGGUUGCCGGCGUGAGUUGAAGAGAGGUGCUUGUGAAAUAAAUUGGGGAGAAAUAGUUUUUUGAAGUAGCAUUCAACAACUUUUGGUUAAAGCUCAUUCCAUUCAAUUUUAUGCAUUCUAAAAAAAGUACUUUUUUUCGAAGGUACUUUAUUGAUAUUGUGUUUGGCCUAACUUCUCCUUAAAAACGUAGAAAAGCUGAAAAAAAAGUCGGGCCAAACGGUACCUAACUCUAUUUAAUUUAAAUAAAAUAUUAAUGGUUAAGGAAAUCAAAAUAAACAAAUCUCUCCAUCAAAAUAAACAAAUCACUCCUAAUUUUUCUGCUUAAUUUUACUAAACAGAUCACAAAAUAAACAGAUCCUCCUAUUUUUAUCGAUAACAAAAAACAACGCUCCUAUUAUUUCCUUUUAUUAAAAAACAAAACAAAAUCAUAUGUAAAUUAAAUAUCAAAAUUGUUUCCUAUUAUUGUGAUACGUUUCCCUCCAACCUAAACUAAACUAAUUAUCCUAUUUUAUGAAAAAAAAAAUCAAAAUUCUUUCCAACCUAAUUAUCCUCUCUCUUCCUUAUUUAUUAAUUUUGUUACGUCUCAAGCAAUUUAACCUAAUUUUUCUCCGCUCAUUUACUUUAUUAGGUUUGCAAUUAUUUAACCUAACAAUUUAUUAAUUUUGGAAUCAUCCUCUCUCUUCUUUAUUUAUUAAUUUUGAAUGGACUGGUUUGGUUGAACACUUUUUUACAAUAUCAUAAUGUAAGACUCUUUCUAAGGACUAAAAGAAAGUAGAAUUUGCAGUGUAGUAUGAGACAUACUUAGAGAGUCUAUGAAUCUAUUAGAUAAGUGUUCCAUCCAUAUCAAUGCCUAAAAAAAAAUAACAAAUCAACGAGUUUCUGGAUAAGAAGUUUGGAGCUUUCCCAUAUUUCUUACAACGAGUUUGGAUCUUCUAAUGAGUACAUUAGCUGUAGGCAGUAGUUUUCUGAUUUAAAGUUAAUUAUACAUUUUGCUAUGAAAAGACACAACUUGACUGGAAGGUUUUAAUCUCAUCUAUCUAUAGGAUAAAGCACAUGAAUCUCGAAUACAUAACAUACUGCACUUUUAUUGACCGGUGAAAGUAAAUACCGCAAUUCUUAAAGUUAUUUAGUGUGAGCGUUUAUUUUAGUGUUUAACCUGAUGCUGCCGUGCGUUUGAGCAAAAGCUUGUAUUCUUAGCUUCACAAAAUGGUGGUCAAAAAGGCAUUGAGACUCCAGAAUGCUAAUUUAAACGUUAAACCAAAACAAUGACUUAGUUGUAUUGGAUUGGUCAUUUAAGUUUUUAUUUUUUUUGGUUUUAAAUUUGGUCAUUUAGGUUACAUAUAGUAUACAUGGCUACUAUUUUUUAUGCAUUUUGCAACAAAUAUUCACAAGUGUUUGAAUUGUGAUAUAAUUAGGGGUGGGGAUGGUUCGGUUAACCAUAUUAAUCGAACCGAACCGAAUUAAAGUGUUGAAAUGGUUCAGAAUAACCGAAUUGAACUGUUUAAGUUUUGGAACUAAUUGAAUUGAACCAAUGGUUCGGUUAAUCAUUUGCUUGCCUAUUAACCGAACCGAACCGAACCAAAACCGAAAUGUUUUUUUUUUAUCCUUUUGCAAAUUUAAUUGUGUUUUUUUUUUUGUCCUUUUUAAAUUUGAGAAUUUUCUUUGGAGUUGAGGCAGUGACUGUGAUGCCACUCUAUGCGUAUUGAGUGUUUUAAGGAGUCAUAUUUCUUUGUAUGGAUCCAUUUUUAUGUCCGACUAAUAAACUGCUUGACUCAGUUGUUGUAAUUGUUAACAAAAGCAUUCAGAUAAGAAAUUCAAUUGACUUAAAAAUCAAUAUUACAACAUACUUGCAUUUGAUGUUGUAAAAACUAGAAUCAAAUAUUUGUAUGAAAAACUAUCUAUAAUAAAAUUGUAAUAUCAACAUCAAUUAUAUCAAAAUUGAAUUGCAUUAUAAGAAGUGGACAUACAAAUAUGCAGCUUUAGAAAAUAAAAAAAUUAUGAAUAAACUAGACAUUUUUAGAAUAUAUACAGCGUUAGAGUAAAUUGGACUGCAUUACAGUAUGAGUGGUGUCACAAAUUAUAUUAUCAGCAAUCAAAUCAGAGUUACUUUCUGUUAUAGAUUAUGUUUUUACAUUGUUUAAGCAAAAUUAGAAUGAAUUCCUUUUGUCUUCUAAGCGUUUCCUUUUAUAAUCCUUAUUUCUUGUCUAAUGGGUCUCUCUUUUGUUCACGCAAACCCAUCAAAUUGUGAUUCAGAGUUCCAACUUCUCCUUUGGCAUGAGUGCGUAAAGCUAGCUGCUCCUCCUCAAUGUAGCUCGCCCGUACAUAUGAAUUGACAUCUAUAAUCUCAUGGUUUCUCACCGUUUUGAUAAGGCUUGUUUGUGAAGUUAUAGGAGUCUAUAUGUUCCAUAUUAUUGACCACAAGCAAUCAUGCGAAAAAGUAAAAAUGAUUUUUUCCAUUAUUAUGAAACACUGCUUGUAUCCCUAGAACUUCUUCACACAAGGCCUGUGAUUUGGCAAAAUGAUUAGGACGGAAUUAAAAAUAGAAAGUAUUUUCUCCAACAAAUUUUCUGACACCAACUGCAUUCUUGAAAUGCACUUGAACUUGGACAGAAUUUCAGCUACCUCAUCCAUCUAUCACGCAGAAACUACUACAUGAGCCUCUGAAGCCGGAGUUACUUGUUAUAUCAAACUGCGAUUGAGAAUAGAAACUCUUGAAAGGUUUCAAGUAGGAUUAACUUGUGGAUAUUAAGUUGUACUUUUCUGACUUUUCUUCUCUACUUAGUUUCAAUUUCUUCAAUUUGCAGUAGCUUAACUUUACUGCUAAAGAAAGCGACAAGCACAUCGUAUUAUGUUGGCAGAAUGAAAAACUUGAUUCGAAAUAAGAGGAAUAUUUGAUAUCUAACUAACAAGAAGUUGCAAUUAUUAUGAAGAUACAAAGAUGUAUCCGCCUUACUUCGAGCAGCGAAAAAGUCCUUACAUUAUCUUUUCACAUGUCAUGGUUAAAUCUGAUCUGAGAAUCUUGAGCAACAAGUAACAACAUCAUAAGAUGACGAGAUUGCUACAGAAAACUACACAAUUUUAUUUUUUUUACCAAUAACAGACUGCAACAUUUAAGAUUAAAAAACCAUGCAAGCUCGAAUGACAAUCUUAAAGAUUUUAAAAACAAAACAAUGAGAUCCAAUGUAUAAGAGUAUCCGCAUUCUCUGUAUUAGCUAAUUGUGUAACAUCAGUGAUAAUGAUUAGUGAUAAUAUAUUGAAUUUAGUAAAUAUAGAUAAACUGAAAUCAAACAUUAUUAAAGAAUGAUGACUUGGUUAUUCAUGAGUAGGUACAACACUAACAGCUACCUACAGUACUAAUUGAGUGCACAAACUAAAUAAAGCAAGAAAAUAUACAUUGUGGUAUUGAAUAAACUAGGUUUUUAUGAACCGUAGUACUCCCGCAAAAGUUCAUGUUGGGUGACAACAAUGCAGAGAACUGAGUUUGUACCGCAUUACCUUGUCAGCAUGAUUUUUUUUUUUUGUUUUGAAAGACCUUGUCAACAUGAUAGUUUCUAUGAUCACGUGCAUUUAUCUAUGACAGCGUCGUAUAUUACCCCUCAUUAGGCUUGUACGUUAGAUAUCUCUAACCUUAGUUGUUUAACUAUUUAAUCAUAAUCACAAUAGAAGAUUAACAGCCUAAAGCCUAAAAAUACUUUUUUUUUUUACCCAAAUUACGUAAUUUUCAAAUUUAUAUACCAAAACACACAUUUUUUCUAACAAAGUUAAAUUGAACUCCUUCACUCUAUGAACCCCUAAUCCUCCACUCUCUUUAUCAAGGAAAUAUAUAUGAUACUGUACAAAUAUUGUCAAAUAAUAUUUAAUUUGAUUGAUUUCACCCGUUUUUGUUUUUCUCUCUCUUGUUAGCCUGUAAUUUCGACAUGCUCAAUUAAUGCAGUCAAUGAGAGUUGAUUUUUUGUUCUUUCAAGAAUUAAAGAUGAUGUUUCUAGCAUGAAGAUUUCGACAUUUGAGACUUAGCAUUUUGAAGAGUUCAAGAGCUUCGAAAUUCGACAAAAGGGUAUUCAGAGGAAAGAUUGGUCGAAACCAAGCAGUUGUUGUCGAAGGGAAAAUAAUUCAAAUUCAAAAGUAUCAGUUUUUAUUGAGACGUGGGAGACAUACAGUUUUCGAUGAAAGAAGUGCAGCUCGUGGCAGUUUAGCUUCUUUACAGUUAUUUCUUCUAUGCAUAAAUAAUAGUUUUUCAUAUGAAAAAUUAGUCGCAAAUCACUUAUAAAAUUCUAGUACUCGAAGUACCAGCGUAUAGAGAAAAGAGUUAUAUAAAAUGAAUGUAAUCUGAUUUGUCAAACCAGCUUUACAUUAAUGCAAUGCAAUCUACGUUUUCUUUAAGUUUAUGUGUUUUAAACUUUUAAGUCUUUUACAUGCAUUUUCUGAAUUUUUCUCUGUCGAAAGACAAUUAUUUUCAUACACAACUUCAUCUUGUUCAUAAAGCAACCUAUGGAUAUGAUGAACAUUCAUAUACUUUAUGAAAAAAGAUUGCACAAUAUGUCCUAAGAUUUCUGAUUUGGUCCUGCUUGUAAUAAUCAAAACUAAUCUUGUUGUUUACCAAAAACACCGGUAAAAAUCUCAAUUUUUAAAAAAAUGGAGUUUUGGCUCCCAAUUUAAAACUGACAUGUCUUUUGAAAAUAUAAAUAUUUAAAUGUAUUAACUAUCCUAUAUUAUUAUCAAAUCAUCCGUCUCAACUGUCCUCGUGAGUUUGCCUCAGUUGGUGGUAAAAACAAUGUAUAAUGUUGGAACACAUGGAGUGUUAUGGUGUGAAUUAAAAAAGGCUAAAAUAUGGUUUUAGUCCCUGCAAAUAUGCCUCGUUUUGGUUUUAGUCCCUAUGAAAAAAAAAUUGUUUUUGGUCCCUGCAAAAUUUUUUGUUUUUUAAAAUAGUCCCUGACCCCAUUUUUGUGAUGAUUUGCAUACGUGGCACAUGAUGACCGAACCAAUUUUGUAGUUUUUGGUCCCUGCAAAAUAUUUUGUUUUUUAAAAAGGUCCCUGCAAAAAUUUUUGUUUUUGAAAAUAGUCCCUCCAGGGAUAGAGGGAAUAUUUUCAAAAACAAAAAAUUUUGCAGGGACCAAAAAUAUUUUUUUUUUUCACAGGACUAAAACCAAAACGAGGCAUAUUUGUAGGGGGCUAAAACCAUAUUUUAGCCAUUAAAAAAAUUCUCAUGUCAAUUUUCUCAAUUAGUGCUCAUUUAUGAUGUGAGAUCAAGCCAUUGAUUUUCUAACGGUGAACUAAUCCUAGUCAUUGAAUUUGUAACUUAUCUUUGGCUCUUCACCUAUAAAUUGAGCUCUUCUCCCCCACUUCUACUCACACCAAAAGUUCUUUUGAGUUGUCAAAGAACUUUUCUCUCUGCUCCCUCCUUUAGCUUGUGUUGACGAGCUAUUCUUUUCCUCUCCCUCUUUUUCUGUCCCUUUGGAUUUAAAGAGUGUUCUUAAGGUCAAAGUCCCUUCAGUUUAAAAUGUCCCUUCGGAAUUAAGAAUGGUCUUAAGAACAUAGUCCCUUCGGUAUAAUUUUUUCCUUCGGAAAUAAGAGUAUUCUUAAGAUCAAAGUCCCUUUCGAGAUAAAGCAUCCCUUUGGAAAAUAAGAAUGAUCUUAAGAAUAUAAUCUUUGUUUUAUGUUUUAUGCCCUUAGAGAAGUUAGAGGUGGAAACACCAUAUUAGAGUGGUCUCAAUACCAUAUAAGAAUGAUAUAUUAGUACCAUAAUAGAGUGGUAUCGGUACCAUAUUGGAGUGGUUUAAGAACCAUAUUGGAAGGUGUAUUUCUAGAACAGAUCCUAUAGUGCAAUAUGACUCUGGUACAGUUGUAGCUGGGCUGUUUUAUCUUGGGGACGUCGUGGUUGAUAGUCUGCUUGCACAAUUUUGAGCAGUGUCACGAAACGUCUUAAAGAGAGCGACCUAGUACACGACUCAGCCUAGUAAUCUUUUCUGUGAUAAAAAAAAUAUUUUUAACUAAUUUUGACUAUUGUUCCAACAUAUAAUAUAUAUAAGAUCUAAGAUCCCGACCACCAAAAAUAUAAUCAUCUGUCUCAACUCUUAACGCUUUGAAGAUGGAAACCAAGUUCCGUGUACAUAUCAACAGUUUUCCUUUGAAGUUUGAAAGUAGUCAUGCAAAAUAUUUUCUUCUGCAUGUUUAUUUUGUUCUCAUAAUAUAAUAUGUUGCAAGUUAUUUCAAAAAAUAAUAUGCUGCAAGUUCAAUCCGAUUCUUAUCUUUUUGUGUAAUUUAAUCAAUCCUCCUUAUCUUUAUCGACGUGUUUUUUUUUUUUUUUUUGAAGAUUUUAUCGACAUGUUUGUGCACACAUAUUAAAUCCAGAAAGGCUGCACGAACACCUUAUGGGAACAAAUUGUCAAGUGCCAAUUCUAUAAUCAUUUUUUAUUAAAAGAAAUUCUAUAACCAUUUUGUUACCUAAAAAAAUUAACAUGUAUGCUUCUUAAACAAGAACACUGUUAGCGUGACAUCGUAAAAUUUGACAAAAUCUUAUCCGUGCAAAUUUUGACAAUAUAAUAGAAUAGUCAAAUCAUAAGUUUACUAACCCAUAAGAUUUAUGUAUUAAAAAAUGCCACCAAAAACUACUAUAUAUACACCUUACAUUGCAAUGCAUUAUAUAUCAAAAACACAAGAAUUGCAAAAAGAAAAAAAAAAAAAAAAAAAAAAAGGCACACAAAUAGUCAUACAUAUUCAAGGAUCAAAAAGGAAAAAAAAAUGUCUGAUGAUGAAUGCAAAGGUAAGGAGUUAUAUAUAUGUUUACAUGCUUAUAUAUGAAUAAUAAAUUAAAUGGUUUGUGAAAUUUUAAUUAUAAUUUGAUGGUUUAAUGAAUCAAUAUAUUGUGUGUGCUCAGGUAAGAGUUCAUGGCCAGAAUUGGUUGGAGUUGAAGGAAAGGUAGCAGAAGCUACAAUUCAGAGGGAGAAUGCAUCGGUGAAAGCCAUCAUAGUGUUAGAAGGAUCUUCUGUCACCGACGACUUACGCUUUGACAGGGUUAGGGUUUGGGUUGAUAAAGAAGGAAUUGUGACUCAGGUUCCAACAAUUGGAUAAAAAGUGUCAUGGAAUUGAACUUGUAUAUAUGCUCCAAGUUAUAAAUUUAAUGCUUCAAUAAGGAGCUAUUUUCUUUCCAAUUGUAUAUUGUUAUAUGUUAUUUUUUUAUUUUGGUGGUCGGGGUUUGAACACCAGACCUUACAUAUAUUAUUUAUUAUCCCUAUCAACUUAGGUAAAAAUUAUUGUUAAUUGUUAUAUG